CCUCCAAGUCAGUAUUGUGAGCCAGGCUCUGAUCUUCGUCACCCGUUCCCGUAGCUGGUCCUUCGUGGAGCGCCCUGGUCUGCUCCUGGUCACCGCUUUCCUGCUUGCUCAACUUGUAAGUACCUGCUGUUUGCCUCUGAUCCAACUGAAACUUAGCACAUCAACACGUGCCUAAUCUGAGCCUAUUCUGCUGGUACAGGUUGCGACCUUCCUUGCUGUGUACGCCAACUGGGGUUUUGCCAGGAUCGAGGGUAUCGGCUGGGGCUGGGCUGGUGUUGUCUGGCUGUACAGCAUCGUGUUCUACUUCCCGCUCGACCUGUUCAAGUUCUUCAUCCGCUUCGUGCUCAGUGGCAGGGCCUGGGACAACCUCCUUGAGAACAAGGUACUGUACCGCUUCCUCUGUCAUUGGACGGGUAGAUAGACGUAGCUGUAAUUUCCAAAGCAAGUUUGCUGAUGGAUUUCUGAAUUCUGGUGCGCAGACGGCCUUCACCACCAAGAAGGAUUACGGCCGGGAGGAGAGGGAGGCGCAAUGGGCCACCGCCCAGAGGACACUCCACGGUCUCCAGCCGCCGGAGGCCGCCUCGAACACGCUGUUCAACGACAAGAGCAGCUACCGCGAGCUGUCCGAGAUCGCGGAGCAGGCCAAGAGACGAGCUGAGAUCGCGAGGCUGCGGGAGCUGAACACGCUCAAGGGCCACGUGGAGUCGGUGGUGAAGCUCAAGGGGCUGGACAUCGACACCAUCCAGCAGAACUACACGGUGUGAGACACCGCCGGGAUGUCGACGAAACCUUUGCCCGCCCGCCCAGUAUUUGCGAAUGGAGUCAUCUGAUUACUACAGGAAUUUUUCCGGUGAUGAACCAAAACAAAGAAAAAAACCGUGU
rnacentral:lncRNA from 1 species